rnacentral:rRNA from 1 species
UACGUAGGGGACAAGCGUUGUCCGGAUUUAUUGGGCGUAAAGAGCGUGUAGGCGGCCGCACAGGUCCGUUGUGAAAACUGGAGGCUUAACCUUCAGACGUCGAUGGAAACCGUGCGGCUAGAGUCCGGAAGAGGAGAAUGGAAUUCCUGGUGUAGCGGUGAAAUGCGCAGAUAUCAGGAAGAACACCCGUGGCUAAGGCGGUUCUCUAGUACGGUACUGACGCUGAGACGCGAAAGCGUGGGGAGCGAACAGG